GAUAGCUCAGUUGAUAGAGCACGAGACUCUUACUCUUAGGGUUGUGAGUUCGAGGCCCAUGUUGCA